UCCCGCCUGCCCAGUGACUCUUUAAACGGCCGCGGUAUCCUAACCGUGCAAAGGUAGCAUAAUCACUUGUCCCCUAAAUAGGGACUAGAAUGAACGGCUAAAUGAGGACAAAACUGUCUCUUACGGACUAACCAAUGAAAUUGAUCUUCCAGUACAAAAGCUGGAAUAAACCCAUAAGACGAGAAGACCCUGUGGAGCUUUAAAACCAAAAUCACCAAACAUGAUACUUGGUUUUUUAGUUGGGGCGACUUUGGAGCAAAAAAAACCCUCCAAAAUAUAAACCCAUUUAUUAAGAAUAACACACCAAAAAUAAUUAAAUAGACCCAGCAACAUCUUAUGUUGUCUGACCAAUGAACCAAGUUACCCCAGGGAUAACAGCGCCAUCCUCUUCUAGAGUCCCUAUCGACAAGAGGGUUUACGACCUCGAUGUUGGAUCAGGACACCCCUAUAGUGCAGCCGCUAUAAAAGGUUCGUUUGUUCAACGAUUAAAGUCCUACGUGAUCU
rnacentral:rRNA from 1 species